rnacentral:misc_RNA from 1 species
CCCUCCCCUAAAUCACUCCAAAAAAACAAUCCCCAAUUCUACACAAGUGUUUCUACACUAACAAAGCAACAGCUCCUUAACGAAUUCCCAACUUUACACGAGCUCGUCUCUCGAGGUUAAAUGUUAUUACUUGGUAAGAUUCCGGACCUCGCCAAGUGUUUUGAAAACCCGCAACGCUCGCAAAGGUGCAUAGUGAGAAUAAUAAGUGAAGAGACAGACUUGUCCAAAACGCCCACCACGAAGGUGCAUAGUGAGAAGAGUAAGUCAAGAGAUAGACUUGUCCAAAAAGAAACGGAAGAGAAAGCUUGGGGAGACGCUCACGAAGGUGCAUAGUGAGAAGAGUAAGUCAAGAGAUAGACUUGUUCAAAAAGAAACAGAAGAGAAUGCUUGGGGUUACACUCACGAAGGUGCAUAGUGAGAAGAGUAAGUCAAGAGAUAGACUUGUUCAAAAAGAAACAAAAGAGAAUGCUUGGGGUUACACUCACGAAGGUGCAUAGUGAGAAGAGUAAGUCAAGAGACAGACUUGUUCAAAAAGAAACAAAAGAGAAUGCUUGGGGAGAUAGAAGUGUGAGAUAGUUCUCAAGCUAAGAAAGUUGUAAAAGCUAAGAACUAGCAAGUAAUCGUCCAGGAUUCCUCCACCAGGACUUGAAAUCGUCGAGGGAAAAAAAUCGGUUCCGAGGAAUCGUCGAUCCGGACUUGGAAUCGUCGAGAAAAGUUUACCGGGUCCGAGGAUUUGUCGAC